GCCAGGCAUGGUGGCGCAUGCCUGUAAUCCCAGCUACUUGGGAGGCUGAGGCAGGAGAAUUGCUUGAACCCGGGAGGUGGACUUUGCAGUGAGCCAAGAUCGUACCACCGCACUCCAGCCUGGGCAACAGAGUGAGACUCUGUCUCAA
rnacentral:sRNA from 1 species